GCCGGGUGAAAGCCUUUUCACGUUCGCCCCUUCCAGUGGUCUUCCUAGCUCUAGGCAAGGCUUCUCUGAAGACACCAGUGUGGAGGAGCCCAAGAGAGGCCUGUCUUUGGAGCACGUGGACAUGGGAUGCAUGAGCACUGCUAUUCAGAGUCCUCCCUGAAGCAACUCAAGGCCUCCAGGACUGGGAAAAUGCUGAGAUCUCCAGGCACUUGCUAACUCUUUCAAAUGGAAAAAUCUCUGGCUUACUGGGGAUGACGUAAGAAGCACUGUCUAUUGAUUGGGACACAAUUUGAUGAACUUCUUUCUAGUUCCCCUUUUUCAUCAUGGUGCAGUUAAGGUCUGGGAAGAAACAGAAUGCAAAUGAGGAUGCAUUGGGUCAGGGACCACCAGGGUGGGGUGAGGAGCUGGACUAUGAUUUAGGGGGCAAACUCAUGGACUGGAGGCAUUCAGAGAGCAACAAUAGAGAGGAUCCUCACACAGGCCCAGCAGAUCUGGGGGAAGUAGGGAUAGGGAGGGCCAUUCAGUUGGUUUGGUUAUAGAAAGAUCUAGCCACAUAGGCACUAUCUGUGUCUCCCAAUGGACUGGCCCAAAAGUCACAGUCUCAAGAAUUUGGGUGAUAGAGUUCAUCUUUGAGCAGUGCAGAGAGAGAAAGAGGGUGCUUUAUGUCACAGAGCUGACAGGGACAUUUUAGUGGCUUAAAUAUAGAAGUCAUCCCAGUGUACAUCUCAUAAGAGUUUAUGUGCAUAGGUAUCAACAAACUGUCUAAAGAAGCAGAGUCCUCACCUUCAGAAACUCAAGUCCUGAAGCACUGCCUAUAAAACCCUUCACACUAGGUGUGGAGUGUACAUCAAUACCUACUGAAGGCAGUUCCCAUGGGGCUGACCCAUCCCUCCAGAAUCUCCUAAAGCCACAGUAGCAUAAAAGGACUAAAGAAGAAAGGCUGCCAGCUGGAUGAAGAGUGAAGUACCAUGGUAUAGGUGAAGUCAGAAGACCACCACAUAGAGAUUAUUGGAUACUCCAAGGCUGCGCAGUGAAAACUGUAUAUCACCAAGGAAACUGAAAAAGAUACCAGAAGAUGGAGGACCUCCCAUGUGUCUGGGUUGGAAAAACUGAUAUUGUUAAAACGGCUACACCACACAAAGAUUCCACCAAUUCACUUGGAUUCUUCACCAUCGAACUACAGUUAAUAGGAAAGCACAGAAGUUCUCACAGAGCCAAAGAAAUUCUAUUCAGGAAAAGUAAUGCUAGAUAAAUCAGAGUGCUUGAUUUCAAAUUGUACCACAAAGCCAUAGUAAAAAACCAGCAUGGUACAUGCACAAAACCAAACACAUACAGUAAUGAAAUAAAAUAGAAAACCAAGAAAUAAGCCCAUAUAGAUAUGGUCAUAUAAUUUUGAAAAAGAUACCAAAACAGACUGGAAAAAUACAGCCUCUUUACCAAGUGAUGGUGGGAAAAGUACGUGUCCAUGUUCUUGACAAACAAGAACUCAAACCCCAUCUUCUACCCUAUAUAAAAGUCAAACAAAAAAUAGAUUAAAGGGCCCAGUGAAAAACCUGAAACUUUGAACCUACUUGGGGAAAAUUAAAGUAAAAUAUUAUAAGAUAUAGACAUAAGCAAGGAGACUUCAAAAAAUUAAAAAGAAUUUGCAUAACAAACAAAAAUGAAAAAAACAAAAACAAAGUCAAAGCAAAAGAAUUAAGAGACAGCCUACAGUCUGGGUAUAAAUGUUUCUAAGUACUCAUCCAAUAUAAGAUUAAUAUCCAGAAUAUAUAAAGAACUAAAAAGUUUAAAUAGUGAAAAUCAGUCCAGUUAAUAAAUGAGCAAAUGGGCUGAACAGACAUUUUUCUAUCUUUUUUUUAAAAUUGGAUAUUUUAUUUAUUUACAUUUC
rnacentral:sRNA from 1 species